rnacentral:rRNA from 1 species
UACGUAGGGGGCAAGCGUUGUCCGGAAUCAUUGGGCGUAAAGAGCGUGUAGGCGGUCCGGUAAGUCGGCUGUGAAAGUCCAGGGCUCAACCCUGGGAUGCCGGUCGAUACUGCCGGACUAGAGUUCGGAAGAGGCGAGUGGAAUUCCCGGUGUAGCGGUGAAAUGCGCAGAUAUCGGGAGGAACACCAAUGGCGAAGGCAGCUCGCUGGGACGUUACGUGACGCUGAGACGCGAAAGCGUGGGGAGC